GCACCCGUAGCUCAGCCCGGAUAAAGCGUUGGCCUCCUGAGCCAAAGGUUCACAAGUUCUAAUCCUGUCGCCCUGUCGGGGAUGCCA
rnacentral:tRNA from 2 species